ACCAAAGUGGCUAGUAAGUGUCACUGCGUUACACGUGACAGCCAAAUUCUACCCGCAUUUGGCGGGUGGGCGGGUGCCAAUGUCAAGCCCUGUUUACAGCCCCUGAGAGGUUUAGCCAAAACUAUACCUAUCUGUUGUAGCAGUACUGUAGCUCCCUCCAGUUAACAGACACGGACACAAGGCGUUCUUAUUUACGGGCAUUUAUUAGUCAUCCUCGAUGCCAUCAAACAUGCCGUGAGAACUCAUUGGCCGCGUUAACUCCAAGGAAGUGAGAAAACAGGUAAAAGACCACAUGACCUUCUCCCAUUCCUCCUCUGGAUCAUCCAGAUGGUCAUUGGCAAACUUCAGACAUGCCUGGACAUGCAGUGGCUUGAACAGGGGGAUUUAACAGUUUUUUCUGAUGGCUGUAGAUGUAGUGAUUGUAUGAGUUAGUGAACUGUUAUAAGCUGUUGUAACCAAUGAAUCAAAAUAUUAAAUGUUUGUAAUAUGAGCUGAAACUGAAGGAGCAAGUAGGAGAAUAGGAAACCCUGUUUAAGCAGUUGCCGGCGAGAGAAAGAUUUAGUAUGUCUGUCUUUUAAGAAACAGGACACAGGUUAGAGACACACACACAUAGUCUGACAGGCCAGACAGAAACCAGGAGGGGACAAGAAGAUGUUUGCGUUUAUCCUUAUAAGGAAUAGAACUGGAACUGGACCAAUAGCACACUUGUUUUGUGAAUUUAACGACUCUAUCUUUUGGGCGUAGUAGAAGUAUAAAAUGAUCUGUUGAAUGUUGAUCCUUAGACAUUGUGCGGCGACACUUGUCUCCAAAAGCUUUUGUAAUAAACGGAAUAUGCGGUAUGAUAAUUGACCUGACUCCUGG
ensembl:lncRNA